rnacentral:miRNA from 1 species
GGGGCGGGCGGGCGGGGG